AACGGCCGUACCAUGCUGAAUAUACCGGUUCUCGUUAGAUCACCGAAGUUAAGCAUCAUUGGGCGCGGUCAGUACUUGGGUGGGUGACCACCUGGGAAUU
rnacentral:rRNA from 1 species